GAGCUUCGGUGGUGGACGAUACCGCAGAUCUCCUUGGUCUUGGAGUGACACUGCAAUUGAUCAGUAAGUAAAUGUUUGUCGCUGCCAAGAACAUCCUCACCUUUGAGUAUUGUACAGGUGCCAAGACAGGAAAGAAGAGCAAUCCCGCAAACCUUGAGAAGUGGUUGUUUUCUGGAGGAUUAUUUGCUACGGACGAUGUCAAAUACACUGUGAAGUUUUCAGUGGACCCGGAUUUCGGACUGCCUGGAGCAUUUAGCAUCACGAAUAGUCAUCCAAGUGAAUUUUACCUUGUCUCUUUGACUGUCGAGAUGCCUGGAGGGGGGAAGAUCGUUGAGUUCCCUUGCUAUUCCUGGGUUUACAAUUCGAACCUCUACAAAACUGACCGUCUGUUCUUCAGUAACCAGGUAGGCUCUGCGUGGUAAAGAUCUCUGACUGUUGUAUCCUUACGAAUUCUUUCAGCUCUACCUGCCAAACGAGACACCGACGGGCCUGACAAAUGCUCGAAAGAGUGACUUGAAAGCCCUGCAAGGAGACGGAACGGGAAUUAGACAAGACUGGGAUCGGAUUUACGACUACGAUACUUACAACGAUCUGGGAAAUCCACUCCUCAACAUGAAAAGACCAACAUUGGGCGGAUCGACCGAUCUUCCUUAUCCCCGCAGGUGUCGCACCGGUCGAAUUAACAUCAACGGAGGUCUGAAUAAGAAAAAAAAGAAAGAAAGAAAGAAAGAAAGACACUAAUUAAUGAUGUUUGCUGUGCAACAGUUGAAACUCUCACGUUGACCCCGCUAAAUAAAUUCUACAUACCAAGCGACGAACGAUUUGGCUCCGUGAAGAACAGUGACUUCCUGGCCGACGGUCUCAAGGCACUGACUCACAGCGUCCUUCCAGCUCUGGAAAGCAUCAUCACGUUUGACCAGACGUUUGAUUCGCUCAAGGAGAUAAAGGACCUGUAUGACCAUGGAUUUGAUAUAUCCGAGCUUGUCAC
rnacentral:lncRNA from 1 species